ACGCUGGGCUUGGGUGUCAGUGCUUGUCUCCAUAUAGAUAGUCACUUCUUGAAAGCCGCAAACGCCAUCAAGAUAAUCUAAAUACGACCACAGCCUAACUACAUACACAAGGGGCCCCGAGUCAAAGCUUCUCUGGUAGAAGAGAGAUCAGUUUCAGAGAGCGGUGAAUGCCUAGGGAAGACUUGGAAACGAGAGAGUAAAUACUUCCAAGAAGUUUCACUUUGAAGAGGAAGAGAAAGCAGGGUCUGCAACUACGGAGGAAUAAGGGAGCCAAGCUUGGCUUCAUUUUUCCCUGUUAUAAAUGGACU
rnacentral:lncRNA from 1 species